rnacentral:piRNA from 1 species
UGCGGACGAUGGCUUCUGUCACU